GAUGAACGCUGGCGGCGUGCUUAACACAUGCAAGUCGAACGGAAAGGCCAGUGCUUGCACUGGUACUCGAGUGGCGAACGGGUGAGUAACACGUGGGUGAUCUGCCCUGCACUUCGGGAUAAGCCUGGGAAACUGGGUCUAAUACCGGAUAGGACAAUGGUUUGGAUGCCGUUGUGGAAAGUUUUUUCGGUGUGGGAUGAGCUCGCGGCCUAUCAGCUUGUUGGUGGGGUAAUGGCCUACCAAGGCGUCGACGGGUAGCCGGCCUGAGAGGGUGUACGGCCACAUUGGGACUGAAAUACGGCCCAGACUCCUACGGGAGGCAGCAGUGGGGAAUAUUGCACGAUGGGCGCAAGCCUGAUGCAGCGACGCCGCGUGGGGGAUGACGGCCUUCGGGUUGUAAACUCCUUUCGCUAGGGACGAAGCGUAUUUGUGACGGUACCUGGAGAAGAAGCACCGGCUAACUACGUG
rnacentral:rRNA from 1 species